rnacentral:lncRNA from 1 species
UAACUUUUAACCCUAACUUCUAACCCUAACACUAUCUAAAUAUGUAUAUAUAUUUAUUUUUACUAAUUUUUGUUAAUUUCUAUUAACCCUAACCCUAUUAUCAUUAUUAGCCACGGCUAAAUGACGUGGCUAAUAGAUAAAAAUAUCACUGGCUAAUAGAUAAAAAUAUCACUUGCUAAUUUAUUUGUCACUAAAUUAGUCACGGCUCCUAAAUCCAUGGCCAAAUCCGUGGCCAAAUUCGAGUGAAAAAUUGGAGGGAACUUUUGCCGAGAAUUUUAGCCACGGAUUUUAACAGCUGGGGCUAAAUAUUCAAUGAAAAAUUGGAGGGAAUUUUGCCGGGAAACUUAGCCACGGGAUUUUUACAACCGUGACUAAAUAUAAAGAUUAGCCACGGCUAAAAAAGUCGUGGCUAAUUGUUGGGCCUUCUGGUCUGUUCGGCCCAUAGUCCGUCUGGACAGGCCUUGGUACAAACAGUACUCCCCCUUGGCCCGAGGGGGGUAGGGCUCCACCCGGCCCGCUUUCCUUGGUCUGCUCACCCACCUUCUUUAUGACGCUUCGUUACUCGUGCCCCUCUCCCUUUUCUCCAUAAAUAACUGUUUCUGUGGGUUACUCUCCUCAUUCUUCAAUUCUCUUCUGAUGAGCGCCCAAGACCUUCUGGAGGAGUUUGGCCGCGAUGUGAAACUCCAACAUGCCGCGUGGACAGAGUGUCUGCUGAUGCCCGCCGGCGUCUUUCACACCGUCGUCGUGUCGGAGAGUCAGCGGCUCAAUUCCGUCCUGAUAGAAAUCCAUCGCCGCCUUGCCUAACUUCGCCGGUCCGACGUGUCCUCCUCUUCCGGCGUGCCUGUUUCCUCCGCCGUUGCUGCUUCAGGCGAUGUGACCUCAUGCUUCUACUGCUCUCUACACAGUGCGUCUACCGUCACUCCGGUCGGGGGAACUGGCCGUCGUCGGCGCUCGUGCGGUCACCGUGGCUCUCGUGGGUCCUCGUCCCUUCCAGCUAACGAUUUGCGAUACUUUUUGUCAGGGCCGCCGAAGUCGGGCCGUUAGGCUCGCAUUCGUGCCGGAUGCAAUGACUAUUUUCGGGCGAACCUUCCCCCGUUCCCAGGCCUCUACGGACGGUGUCUCGCCCAUUCCCAGGUCUCUACGGGUGCGUCGUUCGGGGAUAACUUCCUCUUAUUUCUCCUUUGUAUAUAAUUACUUGGAAAGGAAGUCGUGUGGUACCCCCUGAUUCGCUCCCGUCAUUCUUCUUUUUCUUUUAUUU